CCUACGGGAGGCAGCAGUGGGGAAUAUUGGGCAAUGGGCGCAAGCCUGACCCAGCAACGCCGCGUGAAGGAAGAAGGCUUUCGGGUUGUAAACUUCUUUUCUCAGGGACGAAGCAAGUGACGGUACCUGAGGAAUAAGCCACGGCUAACUACGUGCCAGCAGCCGCGGUAAUACGUAGGUGGCAAGCGUUAUCCGGAUUUACUGGGUGUAAAGGGCGUGUAGGCGGGACUGCAAGUCAGAUGUGAAAACCACGGGCUCAACCUGUGGCCUGCAUUUGAAACGGUAGUUCUUGAGUACUGGGGAGACAGACGGAAGUCCUAGUGUAGCGGUGAAAUGCGUAGAUAUUAGGAGGAACACCAGUGGCGAAGGCGGUCUGCUGGACAGCAACUGACGCUGAGGCGCGAAAGCGUGGGGAGCAAACAGGAUUAGAUACCCUUGUAGUC
rnacentral:rRNA from 1 species